GAUCCGGGUUGCGGACAGUGUCUGGUGGGUAGUUUGACUGGGGCGGUCUCCUCCUAAAGAGUAACGGAGGAGCACGAAGGUUGGCUAAUCCUGGUCGGACAUCAGGAGGUUAGUGCAAUGGCAUAAGCCAGCUUGACUGCGAGCGUGACGGCGCGAGCAGGUGCGAAAGCAGGUCAUAGUGAUCCGGUGGUUCUGAAUGGAAGGGCCAUCGCUCAACGGAUAAAAGGUACUCCGGGGAUAACAGGCUGAUACCGCCCAAGAGUUCAUAUCGACGGCGGUGUUUGGCACCUCGAUGUCGGCUCAUCACAUCCUGGGGCUGAAGUAGGUCCCAAGGGUAUGGCUGUUCGCCAUUUAAAGUGGUACGCGAGCUGGGUUUAGAACGUCGUGAGACAGUUCGGUCCCUA
rnacentral:rRNA from 1 species